rnacentral:lncRNA from 1 species
UCCUGUCCCUGCACUGGCUGCCCCCUCCUCCUGCACCUGCCCUUUUUUUGGUGGCCACGUAAAACCAGUGUCGGGAGAAAGACCUUUCCUCUUCCAACUUGUGUCCAGCGGUUGGGGGCCUGCAAAUUAGCUGAGGAAAGACAGACUAAGAAGAGAAAAGGCAAAGUUUGUUUUCACACGUGCAAGCAGGGGCUCCCACUAGUGGAAAAGCUCACAGAACAGCUCAAAGUAAAGGUUUCAGACCACCUUGCCCCCCACCCUAUAAAUAUCCUGGGUCCCCAUUUCCAGGAGGCAGAUUUGAGACUCAUUCUCUCGCUUCCUCACGUGGCUGCCUGAUGUGAAGGUGUCAUGGGGGACUUCUGAGAUUACUUGAAAGAAGCUCACUUGACUCGCAGUCUCGUCCCGUCUCCCCCUCCCCUUCCUCCUGUUCACCGACUGGACAGACACGUGAUGCCCGACUCCACUGCCAUCUUGGAUCCUGAGGUGAUGGGAAGGGCGGCAGUCACGUGCACUGGAGCAGAAAGAUGGGAGCCGUCUGGAUCCUUGAUAACUUGAGAAACUGAGGCCCAGAAAGGGGAAGAGAUUUGGCUGAACUCUGAAUUUGUGGUAUUCCUUGAUUAUCGUUGAUUGGCAUACUCGACAUUUAUUGAAGGCCUACCACGAAUCAGGCCUGUGCUAGACAGUGAACUGCCUGAGAACAGAGACUGGAGCACAAGAGACUCAGCGAACGUUUGCUGAGUAAAGCAGUGCUGCCCACAGUGGGAGUGGCGCCUCAGGGUUUGUGCAAGACGAUCCUCUGGGAUGCAGGAGGACAAUUUUAGAACUUCCAUUUGCAUUUAAUUUUUAACUAAACAACAAGAACAUAAUUAAUCAUCCCCUGAUAUUUAAGAUCCAGAUUGAUAUAUUGGCUAGCCCUGCAUCGCUCCUGGUACGGGAGGCAUCCUGAGAGAAGGAUGAGUGUUCCCAGCUGUAGAUGGCUCCUGGGGCUUCCUCUCUUGUU